GCCAGGCGUGGUGGCUCACACCUGUAAUCCUAGCACUUUGGGAGGCUGAGGCGGGUGGAUCACUUGAGGUCAGGAGUUCAAGACCAGCCUGGCCAACAUAGUGAAACCCCGUCUCUA
rnacentral:SRP_RNA from 1 species